CCCUCUGUAUGCAGAAUAUUGUGCAACAUGGUUAUGGGUACUACAGUGGAUGUGAGUGUGUAGACCUUGUACAAUAGAGCUUAUAGGCUAAUGAGAAGACAGGAAGAAACAACAGGAACACAUAUAGCUGGAAUGCAGAUGGGAUCUGUGCUACUUACGCUAGCCAUGGGAUGAUUAGAACAAGAUAAGAGACAUGAGGAAGACUUCUUCAAGGAGGUGCUCAAGCCAUGUUUUGGAAAAGAGAACUCAAGGUCUGGCAGGGAGAAAGGAGCAAGACUGCCUGGCAGCUCUUUAGAAAGUUGUGUGACGUAUGAACCAGUUCUUCCCUAUAUGAGAGUGUACCGUACAUCGCAGGCUGUCCAGCAUCGACCCCACUGAUGGAUGCUAGUAGUCCUCCCCGCCAGCACUCAACAUUGUGACAGUCAAAAACAUCCUCUCUACAUUUUCAAUGCCCCUGUUGGGGUAGCAGGACUCCCACUGAGAGACCCCAGUAGAGAUGGUCCCCAAGCAUGCUAACCAUGAAGCAGUGAUAUCGCACAGCACCUGCUUCCAGCAGCCCGGAGCCAAGGGGCAAAAUGGAAAGAGUCAGCAUUUCUCUUUUAGGUUCUCUGCCUCUCUAGUGUGAAGACUGAAGAAACCUAAUCCUAGGUGCUGCCACUGGGACAAACAAGAAGCACCAGACACAGUGCUGUUUUAGGGUGGGGCAGAAUUAUGCUGAGGGAAAAGUUAUUAUCACUCUUUAAGGCCAAGGAAACCACAAUUUUUAAAGAAGCUUCUAGAAAUUCUACCCAGUAGAAAAUAAAGAUAAACUUCUGUAAGGAAUUUCAUUCUUUUCAGAAUUCGCAAUCUGAAAUGUAGAAGCCCAUUCCUUCAUGGUUCUCAUAGAUAUUUAGUGUGACUGAGGGGUCAGUGGACUCAUAGCACUCAGGCCAGGCUUCUCCUGAGUCCCUUUCUUUGGCACAGAGGGAGUGAUUCACAGAUCCUCUACCCCCAAAGGCAUUGUUUCCUCAUCUCAACAAGAAUCCAGCACCCGUCAUUUUAUCAGCACACGUCACUAGCUUCUCAAGUGAGACUACUCUGAAGUGAUCUGUGUUUGAAGAAUGCCUUUCCCUUUCCCUUACGUAACUAAGAGGAUGAAAAAGGACACUCACUCCCUAUAUGAAAGCUGUGUAUUGUAAGCAGUCAUCUUGCCUGGCUGAGAACUCUAGGAUCUUUUUCUCUGCUCUCCUUUAGGCUGACACUCAUAGCCAGACCUUCUGUUUAUUAGCCCCCUGAAUCUAUUUGAAAAUAUUUUUGCUUUCAUUAUAAUAUAAGUCACAUUCUUCUUGCAUCUGCCGCUGCAUUUUCCAAAAGGGUUAUGUCAAGGGAAAUUCAACACUCACUUUUCUCAUUAUUUGCUUACCAGCUUGCUCACUCAUCAAAAUACCAGAGUUAUUUGAUACUUCAGAAGAUUAUUUCCCCCUUUAGAUGAUGUGUCAAGGGAAGGGGAGCUGGCCCCAGUAUCAGGUGACAGAAUUUUCUUCGCAUUUCUACUGUUGACUCAAUAAAUGCCCUUGGGCAAGUCA
ensembl:lncRNA LINC02532 long intergenic non-protein coding RNA 2532